rnacentral:rRNA from 1 species
AUUGAACGCUGGCGGCAGGCCUAACACAUGCAAGUCGAAAGAGUGGCGGACGGGUGAGUAAUGUCUGGGAAACUGCCUGAUGGAGGGGGAUAACUCCUGGAAACGGUAGCUAAUACCGCAUACCAUCGCAUGUGCCCAGAUGGGAUUAGCUAGUAGGUGGGGUCACGGCUCACCUCGGCGACGAUCCCUAGCUGGUCUGAGAGGAUGACCCGCCAAACGGGAACUGAGACACGGGCCAGACUCCUACGUGAGGAAGCAGUGGGGAAUAUUGCACAAUGGGCGAAAGCCUGAUGCAGCAAUGCCGCGUGUAUGAAGAAGGCCUUCGGGUUGUAAAGUACUUUCAGCGGGGAGGCGUUACCCGCAGAAGAAGCACCGGCUAACUCCGGGCCAGCCGCCGCGGUAAUACCUGUCGCAGCCGCGGUAAUAC